GCGGCUCGCGCCUGGCGCCCGCAGCCCUAGCCGCACCCGCCGCGGACGGAGCCCAUGCGCGGGCCCAGCCGGCGCCCGCCUGCGCCUCCGCCCUGCCCCGGCCCCGGCCUCCGGGGCCGUCGCGCUAGUGAACGGUGGGGCAGGGGCCCCCAGAGUGCUGGGAGUGGCAGCCCCUUGAAGAGCAAUGACGGAGUAUAAACUGGUGGUGGUGGGUGCCGGAGGCGUGGGGAAAAGUGCCCUAACCAUCCAGCUGAUCCAGAACCACUUUGUGGACGAGUAUGACCCAACUAUAGAGGACUCCUACCGGAAGCAGGUGGUCAUUGAUGGGGAGACAUGCCUGCUGGACAUCUUGGAUACAGCAGGCCAGGAGGAGUACAGUGCCAUGCGGGACCAGUACAUGCGCACAGGGGAGGGCUUCCUCUGUGUAUUCGCCAUCAACAACACCAAGUCCUUUGAAGACAUCCAUCAGUAUAGGGAGCAGAUCAAGCGAGUGAAAGAUUCAGAUGAUGUGCCAAUGGUGCUGGUGGGGAACAAGUGUGACCUGGCCGCACGCACUGUUGAGUCUCGGCAGGCUCAGGACCUUGCCAGAAGCUAUGGCAUCCCCUACAUCGAGACAUCUGCCAAGACCCGGCAGGGUGUGGAAGAUGCCUUCUAUACGCUUGUGCGUGAGAUUCGGCAGCAUAAGCUGAGGAAGCUAAAUCCACCUGAUGAGAGUGGCCCAGGCUGCAUGAGCUGCAAGUGUGUGCUCUCUUGACGCCAGGGUCCUCAUGUGACUGAGCUCAAAAUAGGAAAAGUGUAGACCCAAGCCAAGAUCCCUGACCAGGUGAGCUUGCCCCGUGGCCACAGGACACACCUUCCUUCCUCUGGUCACAGACCGUCAAGAUCCAUGCAGGAUGGGGCCUCAUGAGUAUGAGAGCCAGCCUCAAGGUGCAACAAAUAGACAAGGACAGGACUGCACAGGGUGCAAGUUCUUGGAGAUUCACUGACACAGCCUGUGUUGGGGCAGCAGAAAUACAGAAAACCCCAUGAUUUUGGUCAAAGGAGGGGCUUGUGUAUUAAGGGGCCAGAAGGAGCCCAUUCCUCCAGAAAUAUACCUGGCUUAUAUUAAUAACACAGCCAGGGCGCCUGUGGAGCAAGCAGUGUUCACAUACCACCUUAAUGUUUUGUUAGUUUACAAUCUGCUGAGAAGCUGUAAGGUAAAUGCAGAGCAGGGUAGGGUUAUACAGGGCAUUCAUGGUGGUUAUGUCUCAGGAUGGCUGUAGUUGGCUAGAACCAUACACCAUUUCCUCCCCCAACCACCUAAGUGGGGGGGGGGGGGUUACAUAUAGUUGGGUUAUAUGAAAUGUUUUGUGUUACAUUUUU